CACGGGGGGAACGCGAAGAACCUUACCAGAUCUUGACAUCCUCUGACAAUCUAGGAAACUGGACGUUCCCUUCGGGGACAGAGUGACAGGUGGUGCAUGGUUGUCGUCAGCUCGUGUCGUGAGAUGUUGGGUUAAGUCCCGUAACGAGCGCAACCCUUAUUGUUAGUUGCCAGCAUUCAGUUGGGCACUCUAGCGAGACUGCCGGUGAUAAACCGGAGGAAGGUGGGGAUGACGUCAAAUCAUCAUGCCCCUUAUGAUCUGGGCUACACACGUGCUACAAUGGAUGGUACAACGAGUUGCGAGACCGCGAGGUUCAGCUAAUCUCCUAAAGCCAUUCUCAGUCCGGAUUGCAGGCUGCAACUCGCCUGCAUGAAGCCGGAAUCGCUAGUAAUCGCGGAUCAGAACGCCGCGGUGAAUACGUUCCCGGGUCUUGUACACACGC
rnacentral:rRNA from 1 species